rnacentral:sRNA from 1 species
CCCUAGCCCCGAUAGAAGUGGAAAUCCUUUUAUGGCGGGGUUCGCCAUAAAAGAUUGUAAUGUAUAGCGGGAUUAGCU